UUUCGUAAUGGAAGAGAUCCACAAAAUUAAUUUUGGAUGUCUAAGAUCCCUGAACAUAUCACAGAGAAAUUUGACCUUACCAAAUCAAAACUCAUGUCUCUCUCUCUCUAAACUUCUCCAUUCUCAGACCCAUCCAGAUCAACUCUUGUUCCUCACCCCUGACUUCAUUCUCUAGCCGAUUGAGCUCUAUGAUCUAUAUAUAUAUUGUGGGUACGAUCUGAUUGGGCGGCUCUACGAUCUCGUGCUCUUUUCACUACAGGAAAAAACAGUUUAGGCGACGUUUGUUUAGCGACGUUUUUUUAAACGUUACUUUUUUUAAUAUUUAACGACGUUUUAUAAAACGUCGCAUAUUUGCUUAAUAAAACGUUACCGUUUUGUAAUAGGAGGCGUUGAAAAACGCCUCCAAAUGCGUUGUGAUUCACGCGCAUGGUCUCCCCCCUUUUCAAACCCUAAUUUUGAAUCUGAGACUCACCUAAGACCCAGAUCUCGAGCGCCCUCUCUCGCUCUCUCUAAAUCUCAGAGCGAUUUCGAAGCUCCACCGUUUAUUCAUUCUCAGAGCGAGGUAGCGAGCACCAACGAAGAUGAGCUCCACUGUCUCUCUUUCUCUCUCUCUCUCUCUCAACCCUCUCUAAACCCUUAUCAAAGCGAUUCAGAGAUUCAUCUCAGAGAUUUAGAGAUUCAACUCAGAGAUUUAGAGAUUCAAAGCGAUUUCAUCUCAGUGAUUUCAUCGCAGAGCGUCAGAGAUUCAGAUCGGUCUCCACCAUCUGCACCAUCGUCUGCACCAUCAUCUGCACCAUCGUCUACUAAGUUGUAGAGAGAUGGAGUCCCAGUCCCUCAAGCUUCGCAACAUUUUGGAGUUUCACAAUCUCCCAAUCUCGCCGACUCAUCGGUUCUCACUCCUUGUUCACCCAUGUGAACUCACUUCUCUCCCAUCACACUUCUCAUCAUCGUCGAAUCCUUCUCACACUUGAAUUCUUCACCAAUUCAGUCGAAUUCAAACAGUCCCUUGUUUCAAAGAACCUGUACAUUUUCGAAUCGACUCGGUGGAAACUUCUUCAAGCCAUGCAUUCCAGUCCGCGUCCAAGGUCGAAGAUGAUGACACCAAUUCGAUGUCCUCUAGUACUAUUUCCCAACCCUAGACUCUCGAUAUAUAUACAUAUACAAAUAAAUGUGUGUCUGUAACCCUAGAAUGCUUUAAUAUUUGGGUGAUUUUGUAGACAUUGGCUUGAUUCAACGUGCUGCGUGGAUUGGUUUGACUACCAUCAUGAGCAAGAUUCUGAGAUUAAUUAGGGAGAUUAUCGUGGCUUCAGUUUUCGGCAUAGGUCCAGUGGCAACUGCAUUCAAGUGUAAAUGGUCCCAUCCAUAUUACUAUGGCCACCACUCUAAGGUUGUGCAUCCUAUCAGUGCGAAAAGCACUUCACUGAUCUAUUAGAACGAAAUUCCCAAUAAUAUACUUUGUUCCUCCAAGUUUUCAUAUAUUUCAGUUUUAAUUUUUCUGUUUUCUGUCACAAGGGUUGUUAAAACUAUUCAUUUGAGUCUAAUUUUGAUAUCUGUGAGCAUCUGCUGUGUGACUAGUAAGCUUUUGAAGGAGUGCCAGAGGAAGCUGUUUCUACAUAUAAAUUUUGUAGAAACAUUUAUAUGUAAACCCACUGAAACAUUUUGAAUAGUUAGCUUUUUUCCCAAGAAAAAGCCACCGGAUUCACACGGUGUGAAACCACACCUAUUUAAACCCACUGAACUGUUAAAAGAAAAGCCACACUCACAAUUGUAAGAAAUUUCACAUUUUUCGUUGUCUUUAUUUCCUUCAUUUUCAGGGGGUUUGCUGUCAAGACCGACCUUUCAACCAUUCAAAGUUCUCUUUUUUGUUCUCAUGUAAAAAAACCUUUCAUUUGUGUUUUGAACUUUAUCUCAAAUCAAGAUUCAAGAAUCAUUUUUGCAUUGCAGCCAACCAUGUCUAGUUUGUUCCCCCAGAAUUCAAGUUUCUCACCUGUAAGAACUGCUUCUCCACAUAUAAGGACCAGCCCAGAUGUUGAUAGCCAGUACUUGGCAUAGCUCUUAGCAGAGUACCAGAAGCUUGAACCUUUCAUGCAAGUCGUUCCCAUGUGCAGCCGACUGUUGAAUCAAGGUUGGCAACUACCUUUGGUUUUGGAUCUUGUCUUUAUAUGUAUCUAUUGGGUUAUCUUGUUUUUUGACUAAUUUCUAUAAUGGUUCUGUUAUAUUAUGAGAGAGAGAGAGAGAGAGAGAGGAUUAGGAUUGCGCAUAAACCAAAUUGGCUUCCAAUUGGUUUUCUUGUUUUCAACUUUUUUCCAGUUGAAGUUUGAAGGGAUAUUAAUUUAAAUUAAGGUUGUGAUUUGUGUUGCAUAUGUAUUUAGAAUUAGAGAUUCUUGAAUAUUUAUCAAAAAAAAAAAAAGAGAAAAUAAUUAGAGAUUCUU